rnacentral:rRNA from 1 species
CAGCCGCCCGGUAAUACGGAGGGAGCUAGCGUUGUUCGGAAUUACUGGGCGUAAAGCGCACGUAGGCGGCUUUGUAAGUUAGAGGUGAAAGCCUGGAGCUCAACUCCAGAAUUGCCUUUAAGACUGCAUCGCUUGAAUCCAGGAGAGGUGAGUGGAAUUCCGAGUGUAGAGGUGAAAUUCGUAGAUAUUCGGAAGAACACCAGUGGCGAAGGCGGCUCACUGGACUGGUAUUGACGCUGAGGUGCGAAAGCGUGGGGAGCAAACAGGAUUAGAUACCCGCGUAGUCCCUGUCUCUUAUACA